AAUAAGAAGCAAUAACUGCAUUUAAUUUCGACUUAAAAGAAAGAGUAAAUACUCCUUAUUU
rnacentral:tRNA from 1 species